rnacentral:misc_RNA from 1 species
GGAAAACCCACGACUGCUACACCCAAGAAGACGAAUAAACUGUUACCUUUUAAGUGCAUGACAAUAUAGUACCAGCUUCCUUCACUCCAUUAAUUUAUUACUAUAUCGUAAAAGGAAAAACCAGCCCUCAAAAAGAGAACCUGCCUAGUGGUAAACUUGUCCUACGUGUGGUUGUUUGGCCUAGAAAACUGACAAACUUAUGAAACAAUCAG